AGACGAGGGGUCCUAGCGUUGUUCGGAAUCAUUGGGCGUAAAGCGGGUGUAGGUGGCUAAGUCAGUCAAAUGUGAAAGCCCUGGGCUCAACCCAGGAAGUGCAUCUGAUACUGCUUAACUUGAGUAUGGGAGAGGAGAGUAGAAUUCCUGGUGUAGUGGUGAAAUACGUAGAUAUCAGGAGGAACACCGGUGGCGAAGGCGGCUAUCUGGCCCAAUUCUGACACUCAGACCCGAAAGCGUGGGGAGCAAACAGGAUUAGAAACCCCUGUAGUCC
rnacentral:rRNA from 1 species